rnacentral:rRNA from 1 species
GUCCACGCCGUAACGAUGGAUACUAGCUGUUGGGGCAACUUCAGUGGCUAAGCGAAAGUGAUAAGUAUCCCACCUGGGGAGUACGUUCGCAAGAAUGAAACUCAAAGGAAUUGACGGGGCCCGCACAAGCGGUGGAGCAUGUGGUUUAAUUCGAUGAUACGCGAGGAACCUUACCAAGGCUUAAAUGUAGAUUGACCGAUUUGGAAACAGAUCUUUCGCAAAGACAAUUUACAAGGUGCUGCAUGGUUGUCGU